UGAGGAAUAUUGGUCAAUGGGCGCAAGCCUGAACCAGCCAUCCCGCGUGCAGGAUGACGGCCCUAUGGGUUGUAAACUGCUUUUAUACACCAAGAAAAAGCACGACGAGUCGUGCCCUGACGGUAGUGUAUGAAUAAGCAUCGGCUAACUCCGUGCCAGCAGCCGCGGUAAUACGGAGGAUGCGAGCGUUAUCCGGAUUCAUUGGGUUUAAAGGGUGCGUAGGCGGCCUUUUAAGUCAGUGGUGAAAUCUUGCCGCUUAACGGUAAAAUUGCCAUUGAUACUGAAAGGCUUGAGUACAGUUGAGGUAAGCGGAAUGUGUAGUGUAGCGGUGAAAUGCUUAGAUAUUACACAGAACACCAAUUGCGAAGGCAGCUUACUAAACUGGCAACUGACGCUGAUGCACGAAAGCGUGGGGAGCGAACA
rnacentral:rRNA from 1 species